rnacentral:rRNA from 1 species
UACAGAGGUCCCAAGCGUUGUUCGGAUUCACUGGGCGUAAAGGGUGCGUAGGUGGCUUGGUAAGUUUGAUGUGAAAUCUCCGGGCUUAACCCGGAAAUGGCAUUGAAUACUAUUGAGCUGGAGGUUUGGAGGGGGGACUGGAAUUCUCGGUGUAGCAGUGAAAUGCGUAGAUAUCGAGAGGAACACCAGUGGCGAAGGCGAGUCCCUGGACAACACCUGACACUGAGGCACGAAAGCGUGGGGAGCAAACAGG